ACCACCACGCCCGCCCCGGAGCGUGGCAGGCCGGGCGGAGGCCCCAGCGGUGGACGGGAUUCCGCGGCUCACUGGCUGGGGGUUCUGAGAUUCUGUGACUCGGCGACCGGCUGAGACCGAGUUCCUGCAAGUCCCGGCUCCUUGCGGCCUGUCCUGCGCGGUGCCGGUGCCCAAGGCCGGAAAAAGGUAGUUUAUCUUGAAGCAAUCAUACCAGUUAUUCUAGAAAGGCACUAUCCAGUCUGCUGUUAAAAGCUGUGGGUGAGGACUUCCUGGUGGCGCAGUGGUUAAGAAUCCGCCUACCAGUGCAGGGGACACGGGUUCGAGCCCUGGUCGGGGAAGAUCCCACAUGCCAAGGAGCAACUAGGCCCGUGUGCCACAACUACUGAGCCUGAGCUCUAGAGCCCGCGUGCCACAACUACUGAAGCCCGCGCGCCUAGAGCCCGUGCUCUGCAACAAGAGAAGCCACAGCAAUGAGAAGCCUGCACACCGCAAUAAAGAGUAGCCUCUGCUCACCGCAGCUAGAGAAAGCCCACGCGCAGCAACGAAGACCCAACACAGCCAAAAGUAAGAAAAAAAUUGAAUGGCAAGUCUUCUUGUCUAUUUCACACUUGGGAAACUUGGAUCUGCAGCUCUACCUUGAGUUUUAUCAGAGGCUCCAAAACUGUGAACAGGAGGGAGUCAGAUGUGCCACGUAGGUCAUGCUCAAAGAUGAUGAAUACAUUUUGCUAUUAUUAGCUUAUCACCCCCCUGAAGUGUAAGAAGAAUCAAAGAGACUAAUCCUGAAAGCAGCUACGGCUUAUGCAAAAGCAAAGUCAUGAUCUGGAAGAGGGACAAAGGGCAAAGGCUAGAAAGAAAAGUCCUGGACUUCAGACUUCUGAUGAGAUGUCACACACUCCCUGCGUUGUACGUAUGAGGAAGUUAGCACCUGGAGAGGGUAAGUGAUGUAUCUUAGAUCACACAGCUCACAUAGUGGCAGACGCUAAGAAGGAACCAAGGCUGUCUGGCUUCACAUCCCAAAUGGAAGAGGGAAUGAUCUGGAAGAGACGUGCACUGUGGCGAAGGCAGGGCUCAAGACCCAGUGAACACCACAAACCGGUGACAGAACAGUUCAUAGGGUGAAGUAGUUUUAUCAUCUGUGUGAAGCCAACCAUACACAUGAGUGGAGGAAAUGAUGUGUAAAGGAGAUUCUUUGCUGUUUUUAUCCUCAACACUUCUGACACCAAGUAAGAGGUUUUUUUCCUCCUGACAAGAAGUAUGUGGUGGACUUCCCUGGUGGCGCAGUGGUUAAGAAUCCACCUGCCAAUUCAGGCAACCCGAGUUCGAUCCCUGGUCCAGGAAGAUCCCACAUGCUCCGGAGCAACCAAGCCCGUGCGCCACAACUACUGAGCCUGCACUCUAGAGCCUGCGAGCCACAACUAUUCAGCCCGUGUGCCACAACUACUGAGCCCAUGUGCCACAACUACUGAAGCCCGUGCGCCUAGAGCCCGUGCUCCACACAAGAGAAGCCACUGCAAUGAGAAGCCCGCGCACCGCAACGAAGAGUAGCCCCCACUCGCCGCAGCUAGAGAAAGCCCACAUGCAGCAACGGAGACCCAACGCAGCCAAUAAACAAACAAAGAAAUAUGUGGUGUCUUUUCCAACACCAUUUCUUCAGCUUACUGACACUAACUACCUGGAAUUAGCAUCAGAUUCCACAGAUUUAAGGGCUCAGUCCCACUAGGUGGUCCUCCACUUCAGAUGUCAGUUACAAGUCCCUGGCCUCCUGAACUUUGGACCAACCCCAGCUAUAAGUUGGGGGUUCCCAUAACCCUCUCCUCAGGUUUGAUUAUUUGCUAGAAUGACUCACAGAACUCAGGAAAGUACUUUACUUAUUAUUACUGGUUUAUUAUAAAGGAUAUAACUGGGGAACAUCCAGAUGGGAGAGACACAUAGGGCAAAGUGGUGGGCUUGGGGAGAGGCAUGGAUCUUCCAUGCUGCAAGCUCUUUGAACUCCAUCCUUUAAGGGGUUUUAUUAAGGGUUCAUUCCAAAGGUAUGAUCGAUGAAAUCAUUGGCUAUUGUUGAUUGAUUCAAUCACCAGUCCCUUUCCCCUCCCCAGAUGUUAGGAGGUGAGCCUGAAAGUUCUAACCCUAAUCAUGCUUUUCUUUCUGGUGACAAGGCCCCAACCUGAAGCCAUCUAGGGCCCUGCCAAGAAACACUUCAUUAGAAAAAAAGACACUCCCAUCCCUCAGGGUGUUCCAAGCCAUUUAGGAGCUCUGUGUCAAGAACCAAGGAUAGGGCUUCCCUGGUGGCGCAGUGGUUAAAAAUCCGCCUGCCAAUGCAGGGGACAUGGGUUCGAUCCCCAGUCCGGGAAGAUCCCACAUGCCACAGAGCAACUAAGCCCAUGCGCCACAACUACUGGACCUGCACUCUAGACCCCACGAGCUACAACUACUGAAACCCGCACGCCUAGAGCCCAUGCUCCGCAACAAGAGAAGCCACCACAGUGAGAAGCCUGCGCACCGCAACGAAGAGUAGCCCCUGCUCGCCGCAACUAGAGAAAGCCCG